CUGGAGGUAUCAGAAGUGCGAAUGCUGACAUAAGUAACGAUAAAGCGGGUGAAAAGCCCGCUCGCCGGAAGACCAAGGGUUCCUGUCCAACGUUAAUCGGGGCAGGGUGAGUCGACCCCUAAGGCGAGGCCGAAAGGCGUAGUCGAUGGGAAACAGGUUAAUAUUCCUGUACUUGGUGUUACUGCGAAGGGGGGACGGAGAAGGCUAUGUUGGCCGGGCGACGGUUGUCCCGGUUUAAGCGUGUAGGCUGGUUUUCCAGGCAAAUCCGGAAAAUCAAGGCUGAGGCGUGAUGACGAGGUACUACGGUGCUGAAGCAACAAAUGCCCUGCUUCCAGGAAAAGCCUCUAAGCAUCAGGUAACAUCAAAUCGUACCCCAAACCGACACAGGUGGUCAGGUAGAGAAUACCAAGGCGCUUGAGAGAACUCGGGUGAAGGAACUAGGCAAAAUGGUGCCGUAACUUCGGGAGAAGGCACGC
rnacentral:rRNA from 1 species